rnacentral:rRNA from 1 species
AUGGAGGAACUGAAUGUUGAAGGAGCGCAGAAAGUGGAGGAACUGAAUGUCAAAGGGGUGCAGCAAGAGGAGGAACUGAAUGUUAAAGGGGUACAUCAAGUAGCUGUUGUUCCAGACACUGCCGGCUCACUGGAAAACUUGACUGAUUCAAAGCCUCUUGUUUCUGUUGUUUUUACUGAAAGUUCCCCAGAUGGUCAUAACAGACAUUUAAGUGAAGAUUUAAGUUCGCUUACAAUUAAUAAUAUACGUGUGAAUGGGGAGGAGAUUUGCCACAACCAAUCUAAGGGGAAUGGUCACAAUAGAAAUUUCAGUGAAGAUAUAGGUUCCCUUACAAUUAAUGAAUGUCGUGCAAACAAAGUAGAGGAAAAUUGUCAUGACCAGCUUGAAGGGAAGGAACAACAACAAAUUAGUCGCCAUAACUCAGCUGAAAGAAACAUUUUUAAGGCAGCGGAGAUCGCCGAACGUUUCAUUCAGGCUCUAGAUAAUAGAGUUCUUGUUGAAACUGCAGCACCGAUUGAAUCUGUUAAAGAUGCUGUUAGCAAAUUUGGAGGGAUUCUUGACUGGAAAGAGAGGCGUAAAAAUGUUCAACUCAAACUUGACAAGGUGCGGGAAGAAGGCCCCGAGUACCAGAGAAGAUUCAUAGCUGAAGAAGUUGAGAAAAGCAAAGUUCUGCAGGAGCUGUGUAGCACCAGGCGGAUCAUAGAAGGGCUGAAAUUAAGCCUGGAGAAAGCACAAACUGGAGCAUUGCAAGCACAGCAAGAUGCAGAGCUCGCUGAGAUACGAUACAAAGAGAUACAACAGGGUAUUGCUCGCAAAGAGAGUGCUGCAGUGAAGGCAGAGAUUGUUCUUGCCAAAGAACGCUACGCGACUGCCUUAGCAGACUUGCAGUCAGUUAAAGAGGAGCUAGAGCAGCUUGAGAAGGAACACACAGCUUUAAUUACACAUAGGGAGAAUGCUGAGAUUAGAGCACAUGAAUCCACUGCCGCGUCUCAGGAGAUUGAGAAGAUCGUGGAGGACCUUACCCUUGAGCUCAUCUCACUGAAAGAGUCACUUACCUCUUCGCACGCUACCCACAUUAUAGCAGAGGAGCGAAGAAUAAAUGUGGCUUUGGCGUAUGAGCAAGAAAAGCUGGAUUCGCAGAAUGAGUUGAAGCAAGCUGAGGAGGAGAUUCAAAAGCUGAAUGGCGAGAUCUCGGCCAAUAAAGAUCUUGAGUCUAAGCUAGAAGCUGCUUCUGCGUUGCUGGCAAAUCUGCAAAGUGACUUUACUGCUUAUAUGGAAGGGAUACUGCCUGAGAAGGAAAGCGAGGUUGGAGAGAAAGUGCGAUCCAUGGUUAGUGUCCAGAUGAAGCUGGCAAAGACCAGGAAAGAGCUUGACGAUAUGAGGACAAACAUCGAAACGGACAAGGAUGAGGUGAAAGGGCUGUGGAAUACUGCUGCUGCAUUACGAGCUGAUCUAGAGAAGGAGAAGGCAGACCUCACAGCAUUGAAAGAUAAAGUGCAUCAUGCAACAGUUUCUGUCUCGUCUCUCCAGGAAGAACUGAGAAAGACGAUGCGUGAACUCAGCGUUGUACAGGAGAGAACAGAAGCGGCUAAAAUGCCCAUAGAGCUACAGAAGGCUACUCAAGAAACACAACUAGCAAAGGCGAAGGCUCGGUUGGCCUGCGAUGAGGUUACAAGGGCUAGUGAAGAGGCAGACCGAGCUAAGGCAGAUGUCAACAUUGUCCAGUUGAAGCAAGAAGCAGUUUCAAGGGAGAUACUCGCGGUUAAAGCAUCAGAAGAGAUUGCAAUGGCCUCAGCAAAUGCACUGCAAGAAUACAAAGAGGAGGGAGAAAUAGAUCCCCAAGCUAACCGAGGAAGUGACAAGAGCAUGAUGGUACCACUUGAAGACUACGAUGCGUUGAACAAGAGAGCAAAGGAAGCCGAUGACCGAGCUAAGAAGCGGGUUAUGGAGGCAGUUGAGAAGAUCAAGGAGGCCAAGGAGGGAGAGGUGAGGAGCUUGGAUAAGUUGCAUCAGCUGACCAAACAGAUUGAUGAAAGGAGGGAGGCGCUGAGGGACGCGCAUGAGAAAGUCAUCACAGCACAAGACAACAAGUUGACAAUGGAGAACGAGCUGAGGAAAAGAAGAGCCAAGCAUGGCCAACAUUACACGGCGGGCGAUGCCGAUCUCGCGAUUCCCGGUGUCUGCCUUCUGAAUGAUAGUGCAUGCUCUUUUGAUGCAGCGGGAUCGUCUGCUUCUCAUGCGCAAGGAGGAGGCCUAGGUAGAGCCGACACCAUCGCGACAACUGCAGCAGCAGAGCCAAAGGCGCGGAAGUCCUUCUUCCCUCGCUCCAUAGCGAUGAUGUUCAUGAAUAGGAAGAAGACACAUUCGAAGUGA